rnacentral:rRNA from 1 species
UACGUAGGGGGCUAGCGUUGUCCGGAUUUAUUGGGCGUAAAGAGCGUGUAGGCGGCCAGGUAGGUCAGCUGUGAAAACUCGAGGCUCAACCUCGAGACGCCGGUUGAAACCAUCUGGCUAGAGUCCGGAAGAGGAGAGUGGAAUUCCUGGUGUAGCGGUGAAAUGCGCAGAUAUCAGGAAGAACACCCGUGGCUAAGGCGGCUCUCUAGUACGGUACUGACGCUGAGACGCGAAAGCGUGGGGAGCAAACAGG